AUUGAACGCUAGCGGGAUGCCUUACACAUGCAAGUCGAACGGCAGCAUAAGAGAGCUUGCUCUCUUGAUGGCGAGUGGCGAACGGGUGAGUAAUGUAUCGGAACGUGCCCAGAGUGGGGGACAACAGUUGGAAACGACUGCUAAUACCGCAUAAGCCCACGGAACCGCAUGGUUCAGAGGGAAAAGGAGCAAUUCGCUCUGGGAUGGACUCGCGUCCGAUUAGCUGGAUGGUGAGGUAACGGCCCACCAUGGCGACGAUCGGUAGCCGGACUGAGAGGUUGAUCGGCCACAUUGGGACUGAGACACGGCCCAG
rnacentral:rRNA from 1 species